rnacentral:rRNA from 1 species
UACGUAGGGCGCAAGCGUUAUCCGGAAUUAUUGGGCGUAAAGAGCUCGUAGGCGGUUUGUCGCGUCUGCCGUGAAAGUCCGGGGCUCAACUCCGGAUCUGCGGUGGGUACGGGCAGACUAGAGUGAUGUAGGGGAGACUGGAAUUCUGGUGUAGCGGUGAAAUGCGCAGAUAUCAGGAGGAACACCAGGUGGCGAAGGCGG